rnacentral:lncRNA from 1 species
UGGUGGAGGAGUGGUAGGAGAGGAAAGUUAGGAGAGGAGAGGGAGGAGAGUUGAGGGAGGAGAGGUAGGAGUGUUGAGGGAGGAGAGCUGAUGGGGGAGAGAUAGGGGAGUUGAGGGAGGAGAGUUGAGUGAGGAGAGGAGAGGUAGGAGAGGAGUGGGAGGAGAGUUGAGGGCGGAGAGGUAGGAGAGGAGAGGAAGGAGAGGCAUGAGAGGAGAGGUAGGAGAGUUGAGGGAGGAGAGGUAGGAGAGGUAGGAGAGUUGAGGGAGGAGAGGUAGGAGAGGAGAGGAAGGAGGGUUGAAGGAGGAGAGGUAGGAUAGUUGAGGGAGGAGAGAGGGAGGAGAGGUAGAGGAGUUGAGGGAGAAGAGGUAGGAGUGUUGAGGUAGGAGAGGAAAGGCAGGAGAGGAGAGGAAGGAGAGGUAGGAGAGUUGAGGCAGGAGAGUUGAGGAAGGAGAGGCAUGAGAGGAGAGGCAGGAGAGUUGCGGGAGGAGAGGCAGGAGAGUUGAGGAAGGAGAGGCAUGAGAGGAGAGGCAGGAGAGUUGCGGGAGGAGAGGUAGGAGAGGAACAGUAGGAGAGUGAGAGGAGAGGUAUGAAAGGAGAGGUAGGAGAGGCAUGAGAGGAGAGGUAGGAGAGUUCAGGGAGGAGAGGAGAGGCAUGAGAGGAGAGGUAGAAGAGUUGAGGGAGUAGAGGAGAGGCAUGAGAGGAGAGGUAGGAGAGUUGAGGUAGGAGGGUUGAGGGAGGAGAUGCAUGAGAGGAAAGGCAUGAGAGGAGAGGUAGGAGAGUUGAGGGAGGAGAGGGAGGAGUGUUGAGGGAGGAGAGGAAAGGUAGGAGAAUUGAG